AUUGAACGCUGGCGGCAUGCUUUACACAUGCGAGUCGAACGGUAACAGGCCGCAAGGUGCUGACGAGUGGCGAACGGGUGAGUAAUGCAUCGGAACGUGCCCAGUCGUGGGGGAUAACUACUCGAAAGAGUAGCUAAUACCGCAUACGAUCUAUGGAUGAAAGCGGGGGACCGUAAGUCCUCGCGCGAUUGGAGCGGCCGAUGUCAGAUUAGGUAGUUGGUGGGGUAAAGGCUCACCAAGCCAACGAUCUGUAGCUGGUCUGAGAGGACGACCAGCCACACUGGGACUGAGACACGGCCCAGACUCCUACGGGAGGCAGCAGUGGGGAAUUUUGGACAAUGGGCGCAAGCCUGAUCCAGCAAUGCCGCGUGCAGGAAGAAGGCCUUCGGGUUGUAAACUGCUUUUGUACGGAACGAAACGGCUCUGGUUAAUACCUGGGGCUAAUGACGGUACCGUAAGAAUAAGCACCGGCUAACUACGUG
rnacentral:rRNA from 1 species